GGCUUUGUUUAAAAAAAACGGCCUUUUUUAUUUAGCCCACCCCUUUUGUUCCUUCCUACUCCGUAUAUAUAACCCCCUUUACCAAACCCUGGCCUCUUCAUCUUCUCUCUCCUCCCUCCUCCUCAUUCUUACUGAUCUUCAUUCUCUCCUCCCUCAUUAGAUCUUCCUUCUGAUCUUCAUAAUUAUCUUCUUCGUUCUUAUCUUCUCUCGUCCCUCAUUUUAUCUCGUUCUGAUCUUCUCUAGUCCCCUUCGCUCCACAUUCAUUCUCCUCUUCCUCUCAUCUUGCUCGCCCCCUCCCUCCUCUUCACCUCUUUCGACCACCGCCGCGCCGCCACUUACUAUUGCCGCCAAAGGUUUUCUGGUCAAAAUCGACCAUGAAAACUCUAGAUAUAGUGUUUUCAUGGUCGAUUUUGACCUUUAUAACCGAAAUUAAACAUAAUUUCGGGGGUUUUUGGUGAAAUUCGAGGUGUUAAUUGAUGCAACAAGAUUCAAGAUUUGAUUUUGGGAUAAUGUUUUUGAUGUAAUUUUUUUUUUAUUGUACCAUAAUAAUUUAAAGUUAGAAUUACAUUAUUGAUUAUAAUUCAUUGUAAUUUUUUUAAUUUUUUUUGUAUUGUAUAGUAACUGUUAUUGUUGAAUAUAAUGAAAUAUUGCACUCCCAUUAUAUUGAUUGUGAAUUGUGAGUUAUUUGCCUGGUAUUUUACACGGUUUUUUUAAAAAUAUUUUUAUUAUUAUAAUUAAAGCAAAAAAAA